rnacentral:rRNA from 1 species
CCAAUAGCGUAUAUUAAAGUUGUUGCAGUUAAAAAGCUCGUAGUUGAAUUUCGGGACCAAUUUGUUGGUCGCGCCUCGGUACGUACUGAUAUUAUUGGUUUCUCCCUUCUGAAGAACCUCGAUGCCAUUAAUUUGGUGUCGUGGGGAAUCAGGACUGUUACUUUGAAAAAAUUAGAGUGUUUAAAGCAGGCAUACGCUUGAAUACAUUAGCAUGGAAUAAUGAAAUAGGACGUUUGAUUCUAUUUUGUUGGUUUCUAGGAUCGACGUAAUGAUUAAUAGGGAUAGUUGGGGGCAUUAGUAUUCAAUUGUCAGAGGUGAAAUUCUUGGAUUUAUUGAAGACUAACUACUGCGAAAGCAUUUGCCAAGGAUGUUUUCAUUAAUCAAGAACGAAAGUUAGGGGAUCGAAGACGAUCAGAUACCGUCGUAGUCUUAACCAUAAACUAUGCCGACUAGGGAUCGGAUGAUGUUAAUUUUUUAAUGACUCAUUCGGCGCCUUACG